UUGGAGGGCAAGUCUGGUGCCAGCAGCCGCGGUAAUUCCAGCUCCAAUAGCGUAUAUUAAAGUUGUUGCAGUUAAAAAGCUCGUAGUUGAAUUUCGGGGUCUGUCUAUCGGUCGGGCUUCACUGUCCGUACUGGUUUGAUGGAUUCUUACCUUCUGAAUAACCAUCAUGCCAUUAAUUUGGUGCGUUGGGGAAGCAGAGCUAUUACCUUGAAAAAAUUAGAGUGCUUAAAGCAGGCUAGCGCUUGAAUAGAUUAGCAUGGAAUAAUGAAAUAGGACGGCAUGGUUCUAUUUUGUUGGUUUCUAGGAUCACCGUAAUGAUUAAUAGGGAUAGUUGGGGGCAUUAGUAUUCAAUUGUCAGAGGUGAGAUUCUUGGAUUUAUUGAAGACUAACUACUGCGAAAGCAUUUGCCAAGGAAGUUUUCAUUAAUCAAGAACGAAAGUUAGGGGAUCGAAGACGAUCAGAUACCGUCGUAGUCUUAACCAUAAACUAUGCCGACUAGGGAUCGGACCGAAGUUUUUUUUGGUUUGUUUUUUU
rnacentral:rRNA from 1 species